UUGUCGCAUAUCAAUAAGCUGGAGGAAAAGAAACCAACAGGGAUUGCCUCAGUAGCGGCGAGUGAAGCGGCAAGAGCUCAGAUUUGAAAUCGUGCUUUGCGGCACGAGUUGUAGAUUGCAGGUUGGAGUCUGUGUGGAAGGCGGUGUCCAAGUCCCUUGGAACAGGGCGCCCAGGAGGGUGAGAGCCCCGUGGGAUGCCGGCGGAAGCAGUGAGGCCCUUCUGACGAGUCGAGUUGUUUGGGAAUGCAGCUCCAAGCGGGUGGUAAAUUCCAUCUAAGGCUAAAUACUGGCGAGAGACCGAUAGCGAACAAGUACUGUGAAGGAAAGAUGAAAAGCACUUUGAAAAGAGAGUGAAACAGCACGUGAAAUUGUUGAAAGGGAAGGGUAUUGCGCCCGACAUGGGGAUUGCGCACCGCUGCCUCUCGUGGGCGGCGCUCUGGGCUUUCCCUGGGCCAGCAUCGGUUCUUGCUGCAGGAGAAGGGGUUCUGGAACGUGGCUCUUCGGAGUGUUAUAGCCAGGGCCAGAUGCUGCGUGCGGGGACCGAGGACUGCGGCCGUGUAGGUCACGGAUGCUGGCAGAACGGCGCAACACCGCCCGUCUUGAAACACGGACCAA
rnacentral:rRNA from 1 species